UAUCACUGCAAUAUAGUGCUCUCUAGGGUACAUUUGAAACUGCAAUUGCAUUGAAAUCUGUCAGAACUGUCCCUAGAUAUGCUUACAGGAUGUAAAUAGGGCAACCUGCUCUUGCUCUAAGUGUGUUUAUUUAGGUUUGGGACAUCUUGGGUGGCUUUUAGCUAGCUCAGAGUAAUGUCAAAUUAUAGAAUAAUUUGGCUUGAAAGGGACCUUAAAGAUCAUCUUGUUCCAAUCCCCCUGCCAUGGGCAGGGACACCUUCCACUAGACCCAGCUGCUCAGGACCCCAUCCUUGUUUCCUCACUUAUUCCUCUCUGUGGUUCACUCACUCACUGUUGAUAAAGGCUCUCAUUUCUUUGGAUGUAAAAUCUCUUUUGUCUUUUUAGGAUCAUGCCUGCUGGUAGGCCAUGUGGAAGGCUUUCCCAAAUCCAACCUGAGCAGUGACUUUGAAGCACCAUGGUUGAAUCUCCAGCCCCUGCUCAGCAUCAUCCUUUGAGCAAACCUUUGCCAUUGCUGUCAUUGGGACAUCAUGCUUGUUGUAUUUCCUAGUUGCAUGUUUCUCAUGAUAGAAUAUUUUACUUCCCAGCAGUGGUACAUGCAAGAGAAACUAAGCUCAAACAAAGGAGGAAACUGAAAAAAAACCCAGAAGGAUAUUAAUCAGACAAGACAUGAGUAACCUGAAGAAGAGUACUCUUCGUACUGACAAAAUGGAAAUGGCAUCUGUCCAAACACACUGGCUCAAUGAGCCUUGGUUUUGAUGACCGUAUUGCCUUGUUGGCCUUCUGAUUUAACUGUGGUAAGUUUAUUGGCUUCAAAGCAGUUAAAUGUAGUCUGAAAACCUUUUCUUGUUUACUGAUUCUUUUUUUUCCUUCCUCUUGUUUUCCUUCUCAUUG